AACAUUCAACGCUGUCGGUGAGUUUGAGUUAUCAUAGAAACCAUCGACCGUUGACUGUGCC
rnacentral:pre_miRNA from 1 species